rnacentral:rRNA from 1 species
GGAUUAGAAACCCUGGUAGUCCACGCCGUAAACGAUGGAUGCUAGCUGUUAUGAGUAUCGACCCUCGUAGUAGCGAAGCUAACGCGUUAAGCAUCCCGCCUGUGGAGUACGAGCGCAAGCUUAAAACAUAAAGGAAUUGACGGGGACCCGCACAAGCGGUGGAGCGUGUUCUUUAAUUCGAUGGUAAGCGAAGAACCUUACCAGGGUUUGACAUCCUACUAAUUUCUCCGAAAGGAGAGAGUGUCUUCGGACCGUAGUGACAGGUGUUGCAUGGCCGUCGUCAGCUCGUGUCGUGG